ensembl:lncRNA
AUGAAUUGUAUUUCAAUGAUCAGAGUGCCACGAAACACAGUGUUUAGAGCUCCUGUUAUGACAGAGUUGAAGAUAAACUGUACUAUAACUCUAGAUGGAUGUCACAGGAACCCAAGAGUCUCAUGGUGCAAACUCAAUGGAAGUGACUGUAAAGCUUUAAAUUACUCACAUCACAUAAGAACUGACUGGAAAAGCAUCACAGAACAUGAAUGGAUGGCUUUCCUGAUUUUCCUGAACAUCUCAAUGGAGGACACAGGUUACUACAGAUGUAAAGAAGGUGACACAUCUGUAAGCCAUGCUAUUAUUGUCACUGUGACAGGUGCAGAUGAUGAUCUUAAGUGGCUCGGGCCAUAUGUGUACAUCUGCAGUGGAGUGGGGCUGGUCUUCAUAGUUAUGACUGUAUCAUUUCUUUAUGUCAUUAGACACCAAGGAACAAAAUCUACAAGAAAAGAUAAGGCAAAUAAAAAUCAGUACAUGGAUACACACAAAAAAGACCUGCUUCUUCCUCCCCAUCUCUAUCUGAACUCAGACCUGCUGACUUCUGUUGUAUACCGUGUUUAA